AGAUCAUAACACAAGGCUCUUUGUACCACCAUGUUCUGAGCCCUAGGGAGAAAAAAAGCUUCCAAACAGCCCAGCGAGCGUGCCAGCGUGGGGCUGUGUGUGGGGUGAGUCCUGCCUUGCUGAGCUCGGCCACAUUCUCCGUCCGUCCGUCCAUUCCACAUUCCACAUUCCACGAAGUUCUGUCACCCUCGGGAAGGGGCCAGGCUAAAGGCCAUGUGACGUAGCAGCUGACACGUGCAAUCGUUCUCAGAAGUCUGUGGCCCAAAGGAAAUCCUCUCACAGACAGACGUCCAGAGUUCGUUUCCAUGGUGAUUCUAAAGUCACUGAAGAGGAAGCAGCUCUCCCCUCCAGUGGGAUGAUAUUCAUCCCGAAGCAGGAAGUGCCUGCCAGGAGGAACUACAGAUAUGAUGCAAUAUUGAGUACUCGUGUGGACUGACCUGCGCAGAUUAAGGACAGAAAAUAAACCACGCUCAAGCGUUCAAAAGAAGAGGGUGGGUUUCAAAUCGGGAGACAAGCCUGCACACCACACAUGGACACCACACCAACCCCUGUGCGCCUUGGAUGAGAGAGAUGUGUGCACAAGGAUUCACGUCGUUUCCGGUGAAGGCGCCCAACCUCCUCCCCCUGGCAUCCCUGAGGCAGGCGUGUGCCAGAGA